GAGGGCCAUUCUGCACUUCAUCAAGGAUGUGCUCAGUGCUAACGCCCGGAGCUGCUCAGCCUGGGAUGUGGUGGGGCACAUCUUCAGUGAGUUCAGCCGCACCACGGGAAGAAGGGCAGCUGGAGAUCUUUCUGCCCAGGAAGCCCAGGAAGAAGGAGCUCUCCAAGAGCUGUGUAUGGACAUCCUGGGGUCGCUGGAUGUCUCUGUGAGCGGGAUGACCAAACUCCUGUGGCCACGGCUGCUGCUGUACGUGGUGCCAGCCCAGUACACCGGCAUGCUGAUCCCAGUCUCCCACUGUGUCCAAGCUCUG
ensembl:lncRNA